rnacentral:rRNA from 1 species
CCACUGCUAUCGGGAUAGGACUAAGACAUGCUAGUUGAGCGCUUCCAGCCAAUACGGGAGCGCAGCGCACAGCUCAGUAACACGUGGCUAAUCUGCCCUUGGGACCGGAACACCCCCGGGAAACUGGGGCUAAUUCUCGAUAGGUGAAGAACUCUGGAAUGAGUCUUUGCCAAAAAGACGUUUACGUUAUGCUCGUAAGCGUCGCCCAAGGAUGAGGCCGCGACCGAUCAGGUUGUUGGUGAGGUAAUGGCUCACCAAGCCUUUUACCGGUGCGGGCCGUGAGAGCGGGAGCCCGGAGAUGGGCACUGAGACAAGGGCCCAGGCCCUACGGGGCGCAGCAGUCGCGAAAACUUUGCAAUACACGAAAGUGUGACAGGGCUAUCCCGAGUGCCAUCCGCUGAGGAAGGCUUUUACCCAGUCUAGAACGCUGGGGGAAUAAGGAGAGGGCAAGUCUGGUGUCAGCCGCCGCGGUAAUACCAGCUCUCCGAGUGGUGUGGAUGUUUAUUGGGCCUAAAGCAUCCGUAGCUGGCUGAGUUAGUCCCUUGUUAAAUCCACCGAAUUAAUCGUUGGAUUGCGGGGGAUACUGCUCGGCUAGGGGACGAGAGAGGCAGACGGUAUUUCUGGGGUAGGGGUGGAAUCCUAUAAUCCCAGGAGGACCACCAGUGGCGAAAGCUGUCUGCUAGAACGCGCCCGACGGUGAGGGAUGAAAGCUGGGGGAGCGAACCGGAUUAGAUACCCGGGUAGUCCCAGCUGUAACGAU